UCUCAGUUUGUAGCAAGACAGGCUGGGACCUGGGCCCUCGGACCCUUUGCUGCAGUAAGGGCACCUGGACAAACCUCUCCUCGAGCAACAGAAUACAAGGAAACUAUAAGGGACUAAAAAUAACUGUGCAUGGGCAGUUAGGGCAAAGUCUGGACAAGAAGAUA